AUUGAACGCUGGCGGCAUGCCUUACACAUGCAAGUCGAACGGCAGCGGACCUUCGGGUGCCGGCGAGUGGCGAACGGGUGAGUAAUAUAUCGGAACGUACCUUUCAGUGGGGGAUAACGUAGCGAAAGUUACGCUAAUACCGCAUAUUCUGUGAGCAGGAAAGCAGGGGAUCGCAAGACCUUGCGCUGAUUGAGCGGCCGAUAUCAGAUUAGCUAGUUGGUGAGGUAAAGGCUCACCAAGGCGACGAUCUGUAGCGGGUCUGAGAGGAUGAUCCGCCACACUGGAACUGAGACACGGUCCAGACUCCUACGGAGGCAGCAGUGGGGAAUUUUGGACAAUGGGCGCAAGCCUGAUCCAGCCAUGCCGCGUGAGUGAAGAAGGCCUCGGUG
rnacentral:rRNA from 1 species